rnacentral:lncRNA from 1 species
AGGUGAUGUAUCAAGCACUGAUCUCGUCACUUGCUUCAGCAAAUAUUUAAACCAUUUGCAACAAGCAAGGUGCCGUGCAAGGCUCUAGAGAUGGAGAGAAGAGUAAAGCAGAGAUCGUCUUCAGCAGAGCCAUGGCCAGGCCGACAUCAAUGCAGAUCAAUGGCAGCACAAUGAGCAAUGACUGUAGUGUGGACGGAGCUGGAGAGAAUGUGAGAGAAGAAAGUGACAUGACCUGCCCCCAGAACUGCCAUUCAUUUUACUUGUCCAUUAUCACCAUCUGUCAUCCUCACCUGAAACUAGUAUCAACGCAGGUGCAUUCAAAUGCAAAUAACAGAAAAGACUUACACCAUCACGACAUUUAUUGUCUUUUUAAAAAGAAGUAUGGAAUCAGAUGCUCGCAGUUUAGAUCAGCAAUUUCACAAGGUUAGGGCUCUGGACUCUCAUCUCUAUCACUCUGCCCAAGUUCACAUCUCUACUGCUACAGUUCCAAGCCUCACAUUCUAAUAAGAUUUUUCUUCAAAACCAAGAAGACACCUUGCCACGGUCAUGAAUGAGCACUCCUAAUAUGUUUCUUUUGUUUUAUUGGAAAGUCCAUUCUUUGGAAAUGGAAAUAUUUAUAAGGAAACUCCACAGCACAUGUCCCUUACAUGUUAUUGACUAGAAAUGGAUAUAUAUUGUAUUAGGAUGGGCCAGGCUAGGCUUUGGUAAGAAGUAAGCCCUGAAAUCUCAGUGGCUGAACACAAUGGAGGUUUAUUUCUUGCUCGCCUGACAAUCUUUGUGUGCUGGUGGCCCCCUUUCAUCUUGUAGCCUCCACCAUCACUGCAGCAGGGGAAGAGAGAGAUGGAAAUGGUGCACCGGUUUUUGGGUUUUAGUUUUUUUUUUUUUUUUUUUUAACACGGAGUUUCACUCUUACUGCCUAGGCUGGAGUGCAAUGGCGCAAUAUUGG